rnacentral:lncRNA from 1 species
UUUCACGAAGUUGUCAAGUAAAUCAUAUAUCUUGUCUCCAGAGUUUACAAAAGAUGAAGCAUCUAUUGACUUUACAAACAUAGUCCCUAAAGAACAAUUAACCAUAAAAUUAAUUAUACUCCUGCGCCUCCUGUCAAUCCAAAUAUCUGACAUAAUAUAGCAACAAUGUGUUGCCCAUGAUUCUUUAUGACCCUUUAGUAAGUCAUUUGUAUAAUUCAACUCUUUUUGCAACAAUGGAACUCGCAUCUCAUAAUAUUAACUUGGAGGUUUUA